GAUGAACGCUGGCGGCGUGCCUAAUACAUGCAAGUAGAACGCUGAAGGAGGAGCUUGCUCUUCUGGUUGAGUUGCGAACGGGUGAGUAACGCGUAGGUAACCUGCCUGGUAGCGGGGGAUAACUAUUGGAAACGGUAGCUAAUACCGCAUGACAACAGCUAUUGCAUGAUAACUGUUUGAAAGGGGCAACUGCUCCACUACCAGAUGCACCUGCGUUGUUUUAGCUAGUUGGUGAGGUAACGGCUCACCAAGGCGACGAUACAUAGCCGACCGGAGAGGGUGGUCGGCCACACUGGGACUGGGACACGGCCCAGACUCCCUCGGGAGGCAGCAGGAGGGAAUCGUCGGCAAUGGACGGAAGUCUGACCGAGCAACGCCGCGUGAGUGAAGAAGGUCUUCGGAUCGGAAAGGUCUGUUGUAAGGGAAGAAAGAGUGUGAGAGUGGAAAGUUCAGACUGUGACGGUAUCGGACCAGAAAGGAACGGCUAACUACGUG
rnacentral:rRNA from 1 species